UAACACAUGCAAGUCGAACGGAUGAUUAUUUUAUAGCUUUGGCUGUAAAAUAAUUAUUAGUGGCAGACGGGUGAGUAAUGCGUAGGAAUCUACCUAGUAGUAUGGAAUAGCCAUUAGAAAUGAUGGGUAAUACUGUAUAAUCCCUGCGGGGGA
rnacentral:rRNA from 1 species